rnacentral:rRNA from 1 species
AGUGAUUAUUUAACGGCCGCGGUAUUCUGACCGUGCAAAGGUAGCAUAAUAACUUGUCAUUUAAUUAAUGACUAGAAUGAAUGGCAAAACGAAAACUUAACGUCUCUCUUAUUUAAUCAAUGAAACUGAUCCUCUUGUACAAAAGCAAGAAUAUUAAUACAAGACGAGAAGACCCUAUGGAGCUUUAAACCCAUUAUCAACUGCAAUAUUAACAAUAACAAUUUGAUAAUUGUUUUAGGUUGGGGCGACCACGGAGAAUAAAAAUCCUCCGAGAAAAACAACUUAAAUAACACAUCAAAGUACUAAAACAUUUAAAUAAUUGACCCAAUAAACUUGAUCAACGAACCAAGUUACCCUAGGGAUAACAGCGCAAUCUUCUCUAAGAGUCCUUAUCUACGAGAAGGUUUACGACCUCGAUGUUGGAUCAGGAUAUCCAAACAGUGCAGCCGCUGUAAAAGGUUUGUUUGUUCAACAAAUAAUAUCCUACGUGAUCUGAGUUCAAACCGGA